UACGGAGGGGGCGAGCGUUGUCCGAAGUUACUGGGCGUAAAGCGUGCGCAGGCGGUUUUGUAAGUCAGAUGUGAAGUCCCCGGGCUUAACCUGGGAACUGCGUUUGAAACUACAAGGCUAGAGUGUGGCAGAGGGGGGUGGAAUUCCACGUGUAGCAGUGAAAUGCGUAGAGAUGUGGAGGAACACCGAUGGCGAAGGCAGCCCCCUGGGUUAACACUGACGCUCAGGCACGAAAGCGUGGGGAGCAAACAGG
rnacentral:rRNA from 1 species